AGUGUUAUAGAUAGACACAAUCUUGUGUUGAAAGUAUGAUCAUCUGCGAAGUCACGGGCCGAGGCAGCUAUCCUAUGGGACGAUGCAUUCGAGAAAACGUGCAAAUGGUGUGAUAUUCACAGACAUAUCUCUUUAUUUGAUACAAGCAUAAAAUACAGCAACGUGGUGCAAGGACAACCAUGUUUAUCCUGCCGUUAAUAGUAUGGUAUUUUAUGGCUGCAGUGGUUGAUGGAUACAACUCCUACAUAGUGUUAUGUCCCGACACAGUGCGCCCCGGAAUGGAGUUUACAGUCCAGUUGAAUAAACUAUAUACA